rfam:Lupinus angustifolius cultivar Tanjil contig_48424, whole genome shotgun sequence.
GUGAAUGAUGAUAUAUGCACUGGGCUCUGAGCAAUUUUUUGAUUGCACUAUUGAUGGAUAUGCGUGGCCUAGAAAACCAUGUCUGACAC